rnacentral:rRNA from 1 species
UACGUAGGCAGCAAGCGUUGUUCGGAGUUACUAGGCGUAAAGGGUGCGUAGGCGGCUUUUUAAGUUUGGUGUGAAAUCUCCCGGCUCAACUGGGAGGGUGCGCCGAAUACUGAGAGGCUAGAGUGUGGGAGAGGAAAGUGGAAUUCCUGGUGUAGCGGUGAAAUGCGUAGAUAUCAGGAGGAACACCGGUGGUGUAAACGGCUUUCUGGACCAUAACUGACGCUGAGGCACGAAAGCGUGGGUAGCAAACAGG